AGAGGGUGCAAGCGUUAAUCGGAAUUACUGGGCGUAAAGCGCGCGUAGGUGGUUCGUUAAGUUGGAUGUGAAAUCCCCGGGCUCAACCUGGGAACUGCAUUCAAAACUGACGAGCUAGAGUAUGGUAGAGGGUGGUGGAAUUUCCUGUGUAGCGGUGAAAUGCGUAGAUAUAGGAAGGAACACCAGUGGCGAAGGCGACCACCUGGACUGAUACUGACACUGAGGUGCGAAAGCGUGGGAGCAAACAGGAUUAGAUACCCUGGUAGUCCACGCCGUAAACGAUGUCAACUAGCCGUUGGGAGCCUUGAGCUCUUAGUGGCGCAGCUAACGCAUUAAGUUGACCGCCUGGGGAGUACGGCCGCAAGGUUA
rnacentral:rRNA from 1 species